rnacentral:rRNA from 1 species
GUGUCAGCAGCCGCGGUAAUACGUAGGGGGCUAGCGUUGUCCGGAUUUAUUGGGCGUAAAGAGCGCGUAGGCGGCCGAGUAAGUCCGACGUGAAAUCUGGAGGCUCAACCUCCAGCGGUCGUUGGAAACUACUCGGCUAGAGUCCGGAAGAGGAGAGUGGAAUUCCUGGUGUAGCGGUGAAAUGCGCAGAUAUCAGGAAGAACACCGAUGGCGAAAGCAGCUCUCUGGGACGGUACUGACGCUGAGGCGCGAAAGCGUGGGGAGCGAACAGGAUUAGAUACCCUGGUAGUCCACGCCGUAAACGAUGGGUGCUAGGUGUGGGCGGUGUCGACUCCGCCCGUGCCGAAGCUAACGCAUUAAGCACCCCGCCUGGGGAGUACGGCCGCAAGGCUAAA